CCUACGGGUGACAGCAGUGAGGAAUAUUGGUCAAUGGUCGGGAGACUGAACCAGCCAAGCCGCGUGAGGGAUGAAGGUACAGAGUAUCGUAAACCUCUUUUGUCAGGGAACAAAGGCGGGGACGUGUCCCCGGAUGAGUGUACCUGACGAAGAAGCCCCGGCUAACUACGUGCCAGCAGCCGCGGUAAUACGUAGGGGGCAAGCGUUAUCCGGAUUUACUGGGUGUAAAGGGAGCGUAGACGGCUGUGCAAGUCUGAAGUGAAAGCCCGUGGCUCAACCGCGGAACUGCUUUGGAAACUGUCUAGCUUGCGUACUGGAGCGGCAGGCGGCAUUCCUAGUGUAGCGGU
rnacentral:rRNA from 1 species